rnacentral:rRNA from 1 species
GAAUAUUGGACAAUGGGCGAAAGCCUGAUCCAGCCAUGCCGCGUGUGUGAAGAAGGUCUUCGGAUUGUAAAGCACUUUAAGUUGGGAGGAAGGGCAGUAAGCGAAUACCUUGCUGUUUUGACGUUACCGACAGAAUAAGCACCGGCUAACUCUGUGCCAGCAGCCGCGGUAAUACAGAGGGUGCAAGCGUUAAUCGGAAUUACUGGGCGUAAAGCGCGCGUAGGUGGUUCGUUAAGUUGGAUGUGCAAUCCCCGGGCUCAACCUGGGAACUGCAUCCAAAACUGGCGAGCUAGAGUAGGGCAGAGGGUGGUGGAAUUUCCUGUGUAGCGGUGAAAUGCGUAGAUAUAGGAAGGAACACCAGUGGCGAAGGCAGCUACCUGGACCAACACUGACACUGAGGCACGAAAGCGUGGGGAGCAAACAG